GAUGAACGCUAGCGGCAGGCUUAACACAUGCAAGUCGAGGGGCAGCGCGAUGUAGCAAUACAUUGGCGGCGACCGGCGCACGGGUGCGUAACACGUAUGGAAUCUGCCCUGUACUGGGGAAUAGCCCGGAGAAAUCCGGAUUAAUGCCCCAUAACAGACGAAGUGGCAUCACUUUGUCUUGAAAGCUCCGGCGGUACAGGAUGACCAUGCGCACGAUUAGCUAGUUGGUGAGGUAACGGCUCACCAAGGCUACGAUCGUUAGGGGGCCUGAGAGGGUUAUCCCCCACACUGGUACUGAGACACGGACCAGACUCCUACGGGAGGCAGCAGUGAGGAAUAUUGCGCAAUGGAGGCAACUCUGACGCAGCCAUGCCGCGUGCAGGAAGAAGGCGCUACGCGUUGUAAACUGCUUUUACCCGGGAAGAAACCCCUCUACGUGUGGAGGGUUGACGGUACCGGAGGAAUAAGCACCGGCUAACUUCGUGCCAGCAGCC
rnacentral:rRNA from 1 species